GGAACAAGCACUCACAACUGUUCUUUGACAGGUCUUUGUGACUGAUUAAGCAGGUCCUUUAUCUCUAAUGUGCAUUUCCUUAUCGCUGUUCUACAUCUCCUGGCCUCCUCUUUAAACCAAAAGCUCCAUCCAGAGCCUCCAAAUGGAUGACUAUUCAGCAGGACCGCAAGAGGAGCGCUGUUGAGGGGAAAGAGUAGUGGGGGGGAUGGCGCUGAGACAGAGGGAGGAAGGGCAGAGGAACCCAACUUCUCAGCUGCCUCUUUUGUGCUCUGUCCUUUCCCUUCUAACUCCCUCCCCACUCUGUGCACCACCUAUUACUGUCCCUAUUGUAGAAGAUGUGGAAACGCGGGCCUCACGGGUUCAAUAGCCAACAGACACUCAGUUCCGCAGCCAUCAAGAGGAAGACCAGGUAAAAACAACAGCCACAGCUGAGCUCCACAGAUGACCUGGUGUAAGCCUCAGUCGCCUUAUGAGGUGGGCAAGCACUUUCCCCCCAUUCAACAGAUGAAAAACCUGACUUCAGAGAAGCUAAUACCCUGGAUCCAGGUUCCAGCAAGUGGCUGAGCCAGGCCCAUGACACUAAACCUGUCCUUCGCUUACAGCCUCCUAGGGGAGGAGAGAGAAAACAGAAGCGGGAAAAGGCCAAUUGAGAGGGAGAAAGUUCUGGAGCAGGACUGCAAGGCGACCUUGGCUUCCUG
rnacentral:lncRNA from 1 species